UUGCGGCGCCCAGCCCCCAUGGGCGUGAUUAGACACUUAGCGAACUAGGUCAAUUCUCUUGUGGACAUUAUAGUUGCGCAGGAACUUUGUUGACUCUAGAGAAUCUCGGGCAAAUCGCACAUCCCCGUGGUGACGACUUUGCAUGCGGAUGUCAUCCAUAUCAACUUUCAAUGCCAGUUUCUGCGCCUACCAUGGUGACCACGGGUAACGGGGAAUCAGGGUUCCAUUCCGUACAGGUACCCUGAGAAACGGCUACCACAUACAAGGAAGGCAGCAGGCACGCAAAUGAACCACUCCCGACGCGGGAAGGUAGUGACAA